GAUGAACGCUAGCGGCGUGCCUAAUGCAUGCAAGUCGAACGGGACCCUUUGGACUCGUCUGAAGGUGAGAGUGGCGAACGGGUGAGUAACACGUUGGUGACCUACCCCAGAGAGGGGGAUAACCAUUGGAAACGAUGGCUAAUACCCCAGAUGUCAUUACUGUUAGAGGGUAAUGACUAAAGCUCCGGCGCUCUGGGAGGGGCCUGCGGCCCAUCAGCUAGUUGGUAGGGUAAUGGCCUACCAAGGCAGAGACGGGUAGGGGGCGUGAGAGCGUGACCCCCCACACUGGUACUGACACACGGACCAGAUACCUACGGGUAGCAGCAGCGAGGAAUAUUGCCCAAUGGACGAAAGUCUGAGGCAGCAACACCGCGUGGAGGACGAAGGCCUUCGGGUUGUAAACUCCUUUUCUGGGGGAAGAGAAAGGACGGUACCCCAGGAAUAAGGCCCGGCUAACUACGUG
rnacentral:rRNA from 1 species